rnacentral:rRNA from 1 species
GACGUAGGGCGCGAGCGUUGUCCGGAUUUAUUGGGCGUAAAGAGCUCGUAGGCGGCUUGUUACGUCGACUGUGAAAACCCGCGGCUCAACCGUGUGGUCUGCAGUCGAUACGGGCAGGCUAGAAUUCGGUAGGGGAGACUGGAAUUCCUGGUGUAGCGGUGAAAUGCGCAGAUAUCAGGAGGAACACCGGUGGCGAAGGCGGGUCUCUGGGCCGAUAUUGACGCUGAGGAGCGAAAGCGUGGGGAGCGAACAGG